AACGAACGCUGGCGGCAUGCCUAACACAUGCAAGUCGAACGAGACCUUCGGGUCUAGUGGCGCACGGGUGCGUAACGCGUGGGAACCUGCCCUUAGGUUCGGAAUAACUCCCCGAAAGGGGUGCUAAUACCGGAUAAUGUCUUCGGACCAAAGAUUUAUCGCCUUUGGAUGGGCCCGCGUUGGAUUACCUAGUUGGUAAGGUAACGGCUUACCAAGGCGACGAUGCGUAGCUGAACUGAGAGGGUGAUCGGCCACACUGGCACUGAGACACGGUCCAGACACCGGAGGGAGGCAACAGAAGAGAAUCUUACGGAAGGGGGGAAAGGGGGACAGAGGAACGCGGCGUGAGGGAUGAAGGAGCUAGGAUCGGAAAGCUCUGAUGUUAGGAGGGAACAAAAGUGUAAGUAACUGUGAAGGUAAUGACGGUACCGGGAGAAAAAGCCACGGCUAACUACGUG
rnacentral:rRNA from 1 species